rnacentral:rRNA from 1 species
CUGCGGAGGGAUCAUUGCUGGAACGCGCUUCGGCGCACCCAGAAACCCUUUGUGAACUUAUACCUACUGUUGCCUCGGCGCAGGCCGGCCUCUUCACUGAGGCCCCCUGGAGACAGGGAGCAGCCCGCCGGCGGCCAACUAAACUCUUGUUUCUUUAGUGAAUCUCUGAGUAAAAAACAUAAAUGAAUCAAAACUUUCAACAACGGAUCUCUUGGUUCUGGCAUCGAUGAAGAACGCAGCGAAAUGCGAUAAGUAAUGUGAAUUGCAGAAUUCAGUGAAUCAUCGAAUCUUUGAACGCACAUUGCGCCCUCUGGUAUUCCGGAGGGCAUGCCUGUUCGAGCGUCAUUUCAACCCUCAAGCCUGGCUUGGUGAUGGGGCACUGCCUGUAAAAGGGCAGGCCCUGAAAUCUAGUGGCGAGCUCGCCAGGACCCCGAGCGUAGUAGUUAUAUCUCGCUCUGGAAGGCCCUGGCGGUGCCCUGCCGUUAAACCCCCAACUUCUGAAAAUUUGACCUCGGAUCAGGUAGGAAUACCCGCUGAACUUAAGCAUAU